rnacentral:rRNA from 1 species
AUUGAACGCUGGCGGCAUGCUUUACACAUGCAAGUCGAACGGCAGCGCGGGCUUCGGCCUGGCGGCGAGUGGCGAACGGGUGAGUAAUACAUCGGAACGUGCCCAGUAGCGGGGGAUAGCUCGGCGAAAGCCGGAUUAAUACCGCAUACGACCUGAGGGUGAAAGCGGGGGAUCUUCGGACCUCGCGCUAUUGGAGCGGCCGAUGGCAGAUUAGCUAGUUGGUGGGGUAAAGGCCUACCAAGGCGACGAUCUGUAGCUGGUCUGAGAGGACGACCAGCCACACUGGGACUGAGACACGGCCCAGACUCCUACGGGAGGCAGCAGUGGGGAAUUUUGGACAAUGGGCGAAAGCCUGAUCCAGCAAUGCCGCGUGUGUGAUGAAGGCCUUCGGGUUGUAAAGCACUUUUGGCGGGAACGAAAAGGACUGUGCCAAUACCACGGUUCGAUGACGGUACCCGCAGAAUAAGCACCGGCUAACUACGUG